UUUUAAUUUUAAAAAUUUUUAUUUCUAUUUCUAAAAGUUUUAUUCUUGCUUGUUUAUUCACUUUUUCUUUGUAUUAUAUGUAAGUUUUUGUUAGACUAAAUGUUCUUUUUGCAGUAAUUUGAUUUAAUUAUCAAGUGAUUUUGGAUUUAGCAAUUGAUUUAGUAUCGGCAUAAUUCGUGCCAGCAGCCGCGGUUAUACGAUUGAUACAAGUGAAUAUUAUUGGUUAAAACAGUUGUUUAUAUUACUUGGGUUGCAAUAUAAAUUUGUAAGGUGAAAUGUUAAAAUUUAUUUAUAGCCCUUUUUAUGAAUCUGUGAAAUUUAAAUAAUAAACUAGGAUUAGAUACCCUAUUAUUUUAAAUGUAAAUUUUACUUACCAGGGUACUGUUAGUUAGAUCUUUAAACCCAAAGAAUUUGGCGGUAUCUCAUUCCAUUCAGAGGAACCUACCCCGUGAUUGAUAGUACACGAUUUACUUUACUUAAUUUACUUGUUUGUAUAUCUCCGUUAUCAGAGAAUCUUUUUAGAGUUAUAAUUCUCAGGAUUUAUAAUUAUAAAAUAUUUCAGGUCAAGGUGCAGCUUAUAAUUAAGAGGAGGUGGGUUACAAUAGAUUUUUGUUUAUAACGGAUUUGAUAGUGAAAUACUGUUGAUGAAGGUGGAUUUGAUAGUAAUUUGAUUAAUUUAAUUUAAUUGAUAUUGGCUCUGAGGUGUGUACACAUCGCCCGUCGCUCUCAUUAUUGAUUGUCCUAUUAUAUUUUUAGGUGUAUUUCAAUUUAGAUGAGAUAAGUCGUAACAUAGUAGAUGUACUGGAAAGUGUAUCUAGGAAGAAGGAUUA
rnacentral:ncRNA from 1 species